ACAGCGCGCGGGCGGUCCGAGGGCACCGGAGGGCGCGCGCUCGGCCGGGGACUCGGGCGUAGGACGCUGGCGCAGCUGUGCCCCGCGCCGGCCGCUGGGGACGGUUGGAGGAGCUGCCCGCUCAGACGAGCGCCGCCCGCCCGCAAGCAGGAGUGCAGCGCGCGGAUGGUAGGAGGCGGGGCCGCGCUUGUUUACCUCAGGCCGCGCGGCCGCGUCACGUGGUCCCACAGGAAUGCGCGCCCCAUUCAAGCGGGGCGGCCCCGCCCUCCAGCGGAGACCUCAUGGGCGUGGCCGGGGAGGGCGAGGCGGGGGCUGGACUACGGACAUGCGCAUUGAGUGCGCUCCCAACCUGACUACGGUUGCUGGCUGCCUGGUACCUGGGAAGCAGAUCUGUGGGCUAUGCGGCUGUCCUGCUGUGUGACGCUGUGGCGGGACCAGCGUUGCUGGGGCAAACAAAUAGGUUGGAAUAACGUUUUUCUAAAACACUUCCGGACUAGGGACUGAGCUCUACCUUCAGGGCCAAUGGCAUUCAACUUCUUGAGUCGUUUCCUCCAGUUAACGUGUUUGGGUCUGGUCUACACGGUCUUGCUGCCCCGCUAAGCAAAAAUAGACGUUCCUGCACUGCUAACUUAAGUCACCUAGGAAAUGCAAGGGCGAAAGGAAGGCUUUUCAACAGCCUUCCUUGGAAUACCAAAUAACAUGCCGCCUUAAAGCCUUUUGAAAGUAGAUCGCGACUGUUAAACUUUGAGGCAAGAGGCACACAACCUGUUUUCUGGAACAGCACAGCAAAAUGAAAUAACAGACUGAACUGUGCUUCCUCUGCAACGGAAAGCCAGAGUGUUAUCAAAUUGGUACCUACUUGCAGUAACAGUAGCUUUUGCCUUAUUCUGAGUUUCAAUCCAAUUUUAAAUUUAGUUUCCAGAUAUACAGAUUGAAUUGGAGACUACUUCUUGGUAUGGAAAAACAGCCUGCAGGUUGUACUACCUGCGCGCCACCAUUCUGCUUGGAACAUAAUUUAUGCUUGUUACUAGGGUCUCUCGUUGGGGGUUCUUAGUCUCCUUAAUCAAAUAAAUUUAAAAUGUUCAAAAGGAAGCUCGGGGGGGGGGCAAUUUUACUAGAGUUUGAGAGGGUAGGCAAUCUGCUAAUCUUGGCAGGUGGCCAGAGAAGGGAAGGGGGGGAAAAAAAAGAAAAAAAGAAAAAAAGAAAAAAAAGCCAUGCCCUUUUAAGUUAGGACUGGAAAAGGCAGGCCAGCAGGUUCAGCAAUGGAGUUUGGCCAGCGGUUGCUCAGGGAAGGGUUGGUGUAACCCGCCUAUCAAGACUGGAAUGGGUGUAUACUAAACAGAUAUACUAACCCUGUUAUUUACCCCAUUGGGAAAAAAAAAAAUGGACACCUCUCCCCCCACCCCCACCCCGCCUCCGUACACUGAUAGGCACAUAUGCCUGCACACACAUUAGAAUUCCUCCUAGGGAUCUAUCUCCUGCUGGGAGGGAAAAAAAAAAAAAAACCGGCUGAAUCCCUGGGGACAUCCAGAGAAGAAACUUAUCUUCUGGAAAUGACCUUUCAGGAGAGAUUUGGAGCUGAGAAAGGAAUGGAUUGGGGACCACAUUUGCCAGUGUUUAGUUAGGCAGAGCUUUUGUUUUGUAUUUGAACCUCAUCCUCAGGAAACCCAACUCCAAGGCAGAAUUUGUGGAUUAGUAAGAUCUCUGUGUCCCACUUUCCGAUGUGGCCACAUUGAAUAAAUCUCCUUUUCUUUUUCUUGUGGCUUUCUUUUCCUUCAUUAAUUUGGCACUUUUAGCUGCCUUACUGAAGAAGGAUGGCCGAACUUGAGUUGGAACACAGUUUGUAACCCAUAAUUCUAGUAAUAGUAGCUUUAGAGAAAAGUAAAACGGCACAGAAUGUCCAUAAAAGCAUGCCUGGUAUCUUCAAGCAAACAAUGCAAAAGAGGAAAUGACCCUUUUCUGAAUGAGAGCUCAGAAGAGAAGGCAGGCCAGACCACAGGGCUGUUUUCCAGAGAAGGCCAGUGGCCACAAGGUGGGCAAGGUCUUCUGGGAAGGGAAUGUAUAUUAUCUUAUUAAAUGAAUUAUUAUCCUC
rnacentral:lncRNA from 1 species